AUAAAAGAGAAUAUGUACUGUUUGAUUUCUGGUUUCACUAUGUGGUGUUAUUCCUGUUUCUUAACCCCAGCAGCCCAGGAGCCUUGGAAAGAAGCAUGUGUCUCUAAUACAGUGCUGCUCUCUGCAGGACAUUUGGAAAAUUUGUGGUGAAGGAAGGAAGAAAAUGACAACCGAUUUUAUAUUUUGCAAUGACAGCAAAGCAGAGUUACCCUCUCUGCUCUCUGAUAGCACCAUCUUCCAUGCAAACUGCACUCAAACCCGUGUCAAGAUCUGCUUUCUGGGAAUCAAACUCAAGAUAUCUAGUUGAGCAUCUGUAACUUUGUUAUUAGCUAUCUUCAAAUUAAGGAUUGUCAUGUUUUCCUGGUGAGUUGACCCUUUAGUCAUAAUUGAGGCUUCCAUUUUUCCCUCUACUGUAUUAAUUUAUCCAAUGUCAAUGUUGAGACCUGAAUUUCCUUUUGACUAUCUGUGGGUUAUGUCUGGUGCCAUACUUUUACUUUUAACUUAUCUGGACUUCUGAGUACUUGUAUUUACAUUGCCUUAGAAAGCAUCAUUGAUC
rnacentral:lncRNA from 1 species